GUCGAGAUUGAACCGACUGGGAAUAGAACCAACGCGGUUAAUUCACAGUUCAAGCUGAACAUCUCUAUCGAGAUACGUAAGUUAGUAUUUUACCUGAUGUUGGGUACAAUGACAUUUAAUAAUGUACGCACAGUCUAUAAACUAGUUUCUGAAAAUAAGCCUAACCCUAAAGAAACGACCAAGUUGCGUACAUAUUCGGAUAUUUUCAGGGGAAGACUUCAACAGCCCUAUUGGUUCGCACAUUCAUGGAAGCAAUUAGAUGGUAUAG
rnacentral:lncRNA from 1 species